rnacentral:rRNA from 1 species
CCUACGGGAGGCAGCAGUGGGGAAUUUUGCGCAAUGCUCGUAAGAGUGACGCAGCGACGCCGCGUGAAUGACGAAGGCCUUCGGGUCGUAAAGCUCUUUCGACAGGGAAGAAAAUGCAUAUAAGUAACUGUGUAUGUAUUGACGGUACCUGUAUAAGCAGCCCCGGCUAACUCCGUGCCAGUAGCCGCGGUAAUACGGAGGGGGCGAGCGUUGUUCGGAGUGACUGGGCGUAAAGAGCACGUAGGCGGUGUUGUAAGUCAUUAGUCAAAGACUAGAGCUCAACUUUAGUAAGGCUAGUGAUACUAUAAUACUAGAGUAUCAGAGAGGAUUGCAGAAUUCCUGGUGUAGCGGUGAAAUGCGUAGAUAUCAGGAGGAAUACCGUUAGCGAAGGCGGCAAUCUGGCUGGAAACUGACGCUGAGGUGCGAAAGCGUGGGUAGCAAACAGGAUUAGAUACCCUGGUAGUC